GACGAACCGAGCGAACGUUGUUCGGAAUCACUGGGCUUAAAGGGCGCGUAGGCGGCCAGCACAAGUCAGUUGUGAAAUCUCCGGGCUUAACUCGGAAAGGUCAACUGAUACUGUGCGGCUAGAGUGCAGAAGGGGCAACUGGAAUUCUUGGUGUAGCGGUGGAAUGCGCAGAUAUCAGGAGGAACACCGGUGGCGAAGGCGGGUCUCUGGGCCAUACUGACGCUGAGGAGCGAAAGCGUGGGGAGCGAACAGG
rnacentral:rRNA from 1 species